CCGCGCGAAGGUAGCGUAAUCACUUGUUUUUUAAAUAAAGACUAGUAUGAAUGGCCCCACGAGGACUUAACUGUCUCCCUUGUCCAAUCAGUGAAACUGAUCUCCUCGUGCAGAAGCGAGGAUUCUCUCAUAAGACGAGAAGACCCUAUGGAGCUUUAAACUAAAAUCAACUAUUAUUCAUCUAUACUCCAAGGACCCAAUAAAUAACUAAAUAUGCUUGAUUUAAGUUUUAGGUUGGGGCGACCAUGGAGAAAAAGAAAUCCUCCCUGAUGACCACAAACUAAGAGCCACUGCUCUAAAUAUUAAGACACUUAACUCUAAUUGACCCAUUUUAUGAUCAACGAACCAAGUUACCCUAGGGAUAACAGCGCAAUCCAUUUCAAGAGUCCCUAUCGACAAGUGGGUU
rnacentral:rRNA from 1 species